rnacentral:rRNA from 1 species
AAUGAACGCUGGCGGCAUGCUUUACACAUGCAAGUCGAACGGUAACAGGCCGCAAGGUGCUGACGAGUGGCGAACGGGUGAGUAAUGCAUCGGAACGUGCCCAGUCGUGGGGGAUAACGCAGCGAAAGCUGCGCUAAUACCGCAUACGAUCUAAGGAUGAAAGCGGGGGACCGUAAGGCCUCGCGCGAUUGGAGCGGCCGAUGUCAGAUUAGGUAGUUGGUGGGGUAAAGGCUCACCAAGCCGACGAUCUGUAGCUGGUCUGAGAGGACGACCAGCCACACUGGGACUGAGACACGGCCCUGACUCCUACGGGAGGCAGCAGUGGGGAAUUUUGGACAAUGGGGGCAACCCUGAUCCAGCAAUGCCGCGUGCAGGAAGAAGGCCUUCGGGUUGUAAACUGCUUUUGUACGGAACGAAACGGCUCUGGUUAAUACCUGGGGCUAAUGACGGUACCGUAAGAAUAAGCACCGGCUAACUACGUGCCAGCAGCCGCCGUAA